UUAUUAAAAAAAACCUAUAUCCCUUCUCUUUCUUCAUCGCCUGCCUUCCUCCAUUCAAAAAUUUCCCUUUCCGCCGCCGUCACCCAUUGCCCAACCGCUCGUCCAGACCAUCAUUGUCUAACCAGCCAUCCGAUCGACACAUCUCAGAUCUCGUGGCCGAAGCCACCCCCUAGCGUGCCGCCUCGAACCUCAAGUCGACCGACCCAGUCACGUGACCUACGCUAGUCUAGCCACGCUGUUGUCCAGAUCCAGUCCUUACAUAGCCGCUCGCUCGCCUGAUGCUGCCACCAUUGGAGUCUCACCGUCGAUUGAAGGUCCUCCCCCCUACGAGCCAUUGAGCCCUCCGCCGCUCGUCUCUCCCUUUCUCUUUCAGAUCUAACGACGGUGCAAGCCCUUCAGAUGUUCACAGCCACUGUUCUGUUGCCACAGUCGUUCGUGUGCCUCCCUCAGAUCAUCGUAGGUCGCCUUUAUUGUUAGAGUUAGUGGUUUAAGGAAUUUAGGUGAUGAUCAUUGGAACUAAAAUCUAUUUCAGUGGAGAUUUUGGAGACUGAAUUGUUUUGGAGCGAGUAUUAACCAAGCUUUGUCUUGAGGAUCUAAUUCAAAGUUUGUGAAAGCUGGAAAUAA